rnacentral:rRNA from 1 species
GGGUUGGAUCCUGCCGGAGGUUACUGCUAUCGGGGUCCGACUAAGCCAUGCGAGUUGAGAGGGGUAAGCCCUCGGCGUACUGCUCAGUAACACGCGGAUAACCUGCCCUUGGGUCUGGGAUAACCCCGGGAAACUGGGACUAAUACCGGAUAGAUCAAAGAAACUGGAAUGUUCUUUGGUCCAAAACUCUGGUGCCCAAGGAUGGGUCUGCGGCCUAUCAGGUAGUAGUGGGUGUAACGUACCUACUAGCCUACGACGGGUAAGGGUUGUGAGAGCAAAGUCCCUGAGAUGGAUUCUGAGACAUGAAUCCAGGCCCUACGGGGUGCAGCAGGCGCGAAAACUUUACACUGCGGGAAACCGCGAUAAGGGGACCCCGAGUGCCAGCACCUAGUGCUGGCUGUCCAGCUGUCCAAAUAACAGUUGUUAGCAAGGGCCGGGCAAGACCGGUGCCAGCCGCCGCGGUAACACCGGCGGCCCGAGUGGUAGCCGUUAUUAUUGGGUUUAAAGGGUCCGUAGCCGGCCUAUUAAGUCCCUUGGGAAAUCUGGCGGCUUAAUCGUCAGGCGUCCAAGAGAUACUGGUAGGCUUGGGACCGGGAGAGGUGGGAGGUACUCCAGGGGUAGGGGUGAAAUCUCGUAAUCCUUGGGGGACCACCGAUGGCGAAGGCAUCCCACCAGAACGGGUCCGACGGUGAGGGACGAAAGCUGGGGGCACGAACCGGAUUAGAUACCCGGGUAGUCCCAGCUGUAAACGAUGCUCGCUAGGUGUCAGGUGCGGUGCGACCGCAUCUGGUGCCGCAGUGAAAACUUGAAGCGAGUCACCUGGGAAGUACGGUCGCAAGGCUGAAACUUAAAGGAAUUGGCGGGGGAGCACUACAACGGGUGGAGCCUGCGGUUCAAUUGGAUUCAACGCCGGGA